rnacentral:rRNA from 1 species
CGGCGUCGAGCGGCGGACGGGUGAGUAAUGCCUAGGAAAUUGCCCUGAUGUGGGGGAUAACCAUUGGAAACGAUGGCUAAUACCGCAUAAUACCUACGGGUCAAAGAGGGGGACCUUCGGGCCUCUCGCGUCAGGAUAUGCCUAGGUGGGAUUAGCUAGUUGGUGAGGUAAUGGCUCACCAAGGCGACGAUCCCUAGCUGGUCUGAGAGGAUGAUCAGCCACACUGGAACUGAGACACGGUCCAGACUCCUACGGGAGGCAGCAGUGGGGAAUAUUGCACAAUGGGCGCAAGCCUGAUGCAGCCAUGCCGCGUGUGUGAAGAAGGCCUUCGGGUUGUAAAGCACUUUCAGUCGUGAGGAAGGUAGUGUAGUUAAUAGCUGCAUUAUUUGACGUUAGCGACAGAAGAAGCACCGGCUAACUCCGUGCCAGCAGCCGCGGUAAUACGGAGGGUGCGAGCGUUAAUCGGAAUUACUGGGCGUAAAGCGCAUGCAGGUGGUUUGUUAAGUCAGAUGUGAAAGCCCGGGGCUCAACCUCGGAAUAGCAUUUGAAACUGGCAGACUAGAGUACUGUAGAGGGGGGUAGAAUUUCAGGUGUAGCGGUGAAAUGCGUAGAGAUCUGAAGGAAUACCGGUGGCGAAGGCGGCCCCCUGGACAGAUACUGACACUCAGAUGCGAAAGCGUGGGGAGCAAACAGGAUUAGAUACCCUGGUAGUCCACGCCGUAAACGAUGUCUACUUGGAGGUUGUGGCCUUGAGCCGUGGCUUUCGGAGCUAACGCGUUAAGUAGACCGCCUGGGGGAGUACGGUCGCAAGAUUAAAACUCAAAUGAAUUGACGGGGGCCCGCACAAGCGGUGGAGCAUGUGGUUUAAUUCGAUGCAACGCGAAGAACCUUACCUACUCUUGACAUCCAGAGAACUUUCCAGAGAUGGAUUGGUGGCUUCGGGAACUCUGAGACAGGUGCUGCAUGGCUGUCGUCACCUCGUGUUGUGAAAUGUUGGGUUAAGUCCC